UAAUUCAAGUGUGGGAUUCAGUCUAAGAUGCAAGAAAAACUUUGGCCCCACCAUGCGGCAUGCAGGAUCUUAGUUCCCCAAUGAGGGACUGAAACUGUGCCCCCUGAAGUGAAAGUGUGGAGUCUUAACUGCUGGACUGCCAGGGAAGUCCCUCGAAAGAAACUUUUAACAUGUGGUUUGGUUUGUAACAUUGACAGCAGAGGAAGCUGAAGCCAUACAUCUGAGAAGAGAAUAUCCACAGGGCCAUCAGGAAGACAAUAUUUAAUGGUUAAGCAGGGGAAAAAAUAAUGGAAUCUACAAUAGAGACCAAACAGAGUUUCAAUAUAUUUUUUCUUUUAGUGGAGAGAAUACUGUCACAGAGAUCAGAGAAAGACAAGAACUUGUGCAGGAGGAAGUGUUCAUCCCUGUCAAGUACUACAGAGAAAUAAAGUAAGAUAAGGGCAAACAACAUCCAGUGAACUGUACCAUGUGGAAGUCAGAGGUGGAAAUAUCAAGAAUGUCUCCUCUACACAUGUCGAGUGAUCCCUUCUUAGGAGCUGAAUCUUGAGUGGAUUCCUGAUCUUUCUGUGACUUUCACCCACAAGCUGGAUGACCACUUGGUGGGGCUCUUGCAGAGACAAUGUCAGCCUGUUGGUUGAAAAUGAAGAUCCCCUGAAAACCGGAAAUGCUAUGAAAUUUUGCAGUAUAGUUUAUUCUAGCACUUUAGUGGAGAACGAGUUGCCUAUCAGCAAAAAAUGAGCAAGAACAAAGUGCAAAUAAUUAGUGGAAAGAAA
rnacentral:lncRNA from 1 species